UGUGUGUGUGUGUGUGUGUGUGUGUGGGGCGCCGUCCCCUUCCCAUGCCGCGCGCGAUUGAGGACUGGAGUGGAGCAGGUUUCCGCACCAAACAGCCGUUGAAUGCGGGUCAGCCGACCGUGAGUCAAGUGGUAAAUCACCAGUUCAACCAAGGCCGCCGUGAGGACACAGACCCAUCGAUGCUCAGAUCGGACAGGGGCGGGGGUGGCAAACAGGCAAGCGCGCGCAACAUUCUGCUGCGAUGGGCGCGGAGCGCCCUCCGUUCGGUGGUGACACCGCCCGUGCUCGGCGCAAGCGGGCGUCAGGGGCGGUGUACCCCCCGGGGAGCUCCCCCCUCGCCUCCCCCCGAUGCAGGCUCACGCGGGCUACCGAUUCGCAUGCCAGAUGGUGGCGCACGCCCCCCGCUCAGCAGGGCGGCGUGCCUCUCCACGCCGGUUGGUCUCCCCCCCCACACUCUUCCCCUCCCCCGACCCCGGGCCGCCCGGGAGCCCCCCCCAACCCGUUACGCACCCGGGUGCGUAAUGGGGUAAUGUGUAAUGUGGUAAAUGCGUGGCAGUGUAACCAAGUGCGUGCGUGUGUGUGUGNNNNUGCGGCGGWGUGAGGGGGCGUGGGCGCGGGGGGGACGCGCUCCCGGACCCCUGAACCCUCGUACUGAAUCACCGCAGCCGGUCUCCUCGACCAGACGUCGCUUGUCCACGGGAUCAAUGCAGCUAAGGGAAGUCGGCAAACCGGCCACGUACCCUCGGAAGAUGUGGUGGCUCCAGAGGCCAAGCCACGGGGCCCGGUCGCUGGCCGUGCGGUUCCCUCCCGCGGAGGCGGCGCCCCCGCCCCCCCUCAGCGCCCCCGCCCAGGCGGGGGUCGGGGGGCGGCCCCCUCGCUGCCCCGUCCCCGCCGGGCCCGCCCGUCCCCGCGUCCACCCAGGUGGCCCGCGUGGAACCGUUGCCGUGCGGGGGAAUCCGACUGUUUAAUUGAAACCCAGCCUCGCGACGGGACCCGCCGGCCGGUGCCGCGAGGUGACUUCUGCCCAGUGCUCUGAUUGUCAAUGCGAAGAGAUCCAGCCAAGCGCGGGUAAACGGCGGGAGUAACUAUGACUCUCUUAAGGUAGCCAAAUGCCUCGUCAACCAAUUAUUGACGCGCAUGAAUGGAUCAACGAGAUUCCUGCUGUCCCUAGGUGCCGCCUGGUGAACCAACAGCCAAGGGAACGGGCUUGGGGGUGUCAGCGGGGAAAGAAGACCCUGUUGAGUCU
rnacentral:rRNA from 1 species